AUGGAGUUUGCUCUUGUGGUGAUUACUGGUGAUUGAUCUGCUUUAUUUGGAUCUAUGGUUCCUCAAGGGUUGAACUGAUGAAGUGCCCUUGUCCUCAAGGAUUCACUCCCUUCCAGAUUUAAUGCCAAACAUUUCCUAGAAUGGAAUCAGCAAGGACAAACUUGUGUCUAAGAAGACGUGGAGCUUGAUACGUCAGCAGCAAUUUGCAAGCGCUACACAGUGUGUUCCAUUGUCGAAGCAAGAGAGUAUAAGUGGCCUCUGUUUGACAGCGAUACUUACGGUUAAGACCACUCUGAUUCUGAGAAUGUAGGUGAGGAAGGUGACUUUAGAAAGAAGGCUAAAGAAACUCCCUUUCCGGAGAUUGCUUACAUCAAUUUGCUGAUCAGGUUAGAAAGUUGCUCUUGUCAUUUAUAAGUCCGGAAUAUACUCCCGGGUCCCAAGUCACACAAAGUUUGUCAGAAUCUUGUCUUGCCAAUGGUGGUUAUUUGAGGAGACAAAUGAAAUUAUUCAGAGAGGGAUACUUAGAUACGAUUUUAGGAUCAGUUCAAGAUCACAUAUGUAAAUCUUGAACGUGUAAGUUGUAAUGAUUAGUUGUUCAGGCCUAAAUUCAAAUUUCUUGUACCCCCAUUGGAUUCGUUGGCUCUUAAGGCCUUUGUAUCACGAUAUGUAUCCUUAAAUUCGAUUUUGGUUAUCUGUCC
rnacentral:sRNA from 1 species